ACGAACGCUGGCGGCGUGCCUAACACAUGCAAGUCGAGCGAGAAAGUCCGCAAGGAUGAGUACAGCGGCGCACGGGUGCGUAACACGUGGGUAAUCUGCCCUGGAGCCCGGAAUAACUCCCCGAAAGGGGUGCUAAUGCCGGAUGAGACCACGGGAGCCUUGGCUCCCGCGGGAAAAGGUGGCCUCUGUACACAAGCUAUCACUCCAGGAUGAGCCCGCGGCCCAUCAGCUCGUUGGCGGGGUAACGGCCCACCAAGGCUACGACGGGUAGCUGGUCUGAGAGGACGAUCAGCCACACUGGAACUGAGACACGGUCCAGACUCCUACGGGAGGCAGCAGUGGGGAAUCUUGCGCAAUGGGCGAAAGCCUGACGCAGCAACGCCGCGUGUGUGAUGAAGGUCUUCGGAUCGUAAAGCACUGUCGGGAGGGAAGAACAAGCCUGUGGCUAACAUCCACGGGCCUUGACGGUACCUCCAAAGGAAGCACCGGCUAACUCUGUGCCAGCAGCCGCGGUAAUACAGAGGGUGCAAGCGUUGUUCGGAAUUAUUGGGCGUAAAGCGCGUGUAGGCGGCCUUGUAAGUUGGGUGUGAAAGCCCUCGGCUUAACCGAGGAAGUGCGCCCAAAACUGCAGGGCUUGAGUACCGGAGAGGAUGGCGGAAUACCCGGUGUAGAGGUGAAAUUCGUAGAUAUCGGGUGGAACACCAGUGGCGAAGGCGGCCGUCUGGACGGAUACUGACGCUGAGACGCGAAAGCGUGGGGAGCAAACAGGAUUAGAUACCCUGGUAGUCCACGCUGUAAACGAUGAGCGCUAGGUAUUGUGGGUGUUGACCCCUGCAGUGCCGCAGCUAACGCAUUAAGCGCUCCGCCUGGGAAGUACGGCCGCAAGGCUUAAACUUUAAU
rnacentral:rRNA from 1 species